UACUCCUACGGGAGGCAGCAGUGAGGAAUAUUGGUCAAUGGGCGAGAGCCUGAACCAGCCAAGUAGCGUGCAGGAUGACGGCCCUAUGGGUUGUAAACUGCUUUUAGUUGGGAAUAAAAGGCGGUACGUGUACCGCGUAUUGUAUGUACCAUCAGAAAAAGGACCGGCUAAUUCCGUGCCAGCAGCCGCGGUAAU
rnacentral:rRNA from 1 species